rnacentral:rRNA from 1 species
UACGUAGGGUGCAAGCGUUGUCCGGAAUUAUUGGGCGUAAAGCGCGUGUAGGCGGCUUUGCAAGUCGGGUGUGAAAGCCCUCAGCUCAACUGAGGAAGUGCGCCCGAAACUGCAGAGCUUGAGUGCCGGAGAGGGUGGCGGAAUUCCCCAAGUAGAGGUGAAAUUCGUAGAUAUGGGGAGGAACACCGGUGGCGAAGGCGGCCACCUGGACGGUAACUGACGCUGAGACGCGAAAGCGUGGGGAGCAAACAGG